UAUCUCGAGAGAACAACUUCAACUAAGAAACUCUUCUCAAGUAAUAUUGCAUGGAGGAUCUACAUUCUUGCAUGAAAAUGACUUCCACUACAAUAUCUGGGAUUAUAAAGUAAUGAAACAUUUUCUGCAAGUGCAUUUCAAUUUCUCAUGUUAAAUUACCUUCUAUUCUGACUGAACUUCGCCCACCGCAAUCAAGGAAUUGUGCAAGGACAAAGGCCACA
rnacentral:lncRNA from 1 species